GAAAUGCGAUAAGUAAUGUGAAUUGCAGAAUUCAGUGAAUCAUCGAAUCUUUGAACGCACAUUGCGCCCGCCAGUAUUCUGGCGGGCAUGCCUGUCCGAGCGUCAUUUCAACCAUCCAGCCCCCGGGCUUGUGUUGGGGACCUGCGGCUGCCCGCAGGCCCUGAAAACCAGUGGCGGGCUCGCUGUCACACCGAGCGUAGUAGCAAUCACCUCGCUCAGGGCGUGCUGCGGGUUCCGGCCGUUAAACAGCCUUACAAAACCCAAGGUUGACCUCGGAUCAGGUAGGAAGACCCGCUGAACUUAAGC
rnacentral:misc_RNA from 1 species